rnacentral:lncRNA from 1 species
UUUGCAAAGACACGAACACGUUGCAUAUCACUUACACUCAAUGUUCUGAACUCUCUCUCUUUUCACACAAACAUCUCUGUGCUCUUUGUUUCUACACAAUAUUCUCUCAUUUUCCUGUUGAAUGCUAAUAACUCAACUGGUUGCAAGCCAAAGUUGAGUAAUCUUGGUCACUUUCACUUUGAUGGCUUCUAUUGUGUUGUUUGCUUUGGGGUCUGCCUGCUGCUCCCUUCUUGGUUACUACUGCUCACUUUCUGC